rnacentral:rRNA from 1 species
UACAGAGGUCUCAAGCGUUGUUCGGAUUCAUUGGGCGUAAGGGGCGCGUAGGUGGCGCCAUAAGUCGGGUGUGAAAUCUCGGGGCUUAACUCCGAAACUGCAUUCGAUACUGUGGUGCUUGAGGACUGGAGAGGAGACUGGAAUUCAUGGUGUAGCAGUGAAAUGCGUAGAGAUCAUGAGGAAGACCAGUGGCGAAGGCGGGUCUCUGGACAGUUCCUGACACUGAGGCACGAAGGCCAGGGGAGCAAACGGG